CCGAGCACGCGCGUGUGGCAUAUCAAUAAGCGGAGGAAAAGAAACUAACAAGGAUUCCCUUAGUAACGGCGAGUGAAGCGGGAAGAGCUCAAAUUUGAAAUCUUCAAGGUUCUACCUUGACGAAUUGUAGUUUAUAGAAGUGUUUUCUGUUAGUGGAGUGGCAAAAGUUCUUUGGAAUAGGACAUCAUAGAGGGUGAGAAUCCCGUAUUUGGUCAUUCCUCCUAGCGUUGUGAUACACUUUCAACGAGUCGGAUUGUUUGGGAAUGCAGUCCAAAAUGGGUGGUAAAUUUCAUCUAAAGCUAAAUAUUGGCGAGAGACCGAUAGCGAACAAGUACCGUGAGGGAAAGAUGAAAAGAACUUUGAAAAGAGAGUUAAACAGUACGUGAAAUUGUCAAAAGGGAAGCGUUUGACACCAGUGUUGUUUUCUCGAAAAUCAAUUAAAAAGAGUUGGAUUUUGUAUUGUUAAGACCUUAUCAGCUUACUGUACUUUUUUCUUGCUCUUUUUAAUGCACUUUUCGUUUAACAAGUCAACAUCAAUUUCUUUUGUUGUAAAAGGGUCAUUGGAAGGAGGCUUUCACUUCGGUGAAAGUGUUUAUAGCCUUUGGCUUCUACAAUCGGAGAGAUUGAGGUCUGCAGCGUAGAUCCUUCGGGGUUAGAUACGUAGAUGCUAAGUUAUAGUUUUUUAUAGACAACUUGUUGACUAUGAUUAAUCAUGUAGCUUACUCGUUUACGCUAUUUUACCUACGCUUAGGAUGUUGAACUCUAUCACACACAG
rnacentral:rRNA from 1 species